rnacentral:rRNA from 1 species
AACGUAGGGGGCAAGCGUUGUCCGGAAUUAUUGGGCGUAAAGAGCUCGUAGGCGGUUUGGCGCGUCUGCUGUGAAAGUUCGGGGCUCAACCCCGGAACUGCAGUGGGUACGGGCAGACUAGAGUGCGGUAGAGGAGACUGGAAUUCCUGGUGUAGCGGUGGAAUGCGCAGAUAUCAGGAGGAACACCAGUGGCGAAGGCGGUUCUCUGGGCCGCAACUGUCGCUGAGGAGCGAAAGCGUGGGGAGCGAACAGG